ACCAAGUGGCGAACGGGUGAGUAACGCGUAAGCAAUCUACCUUCAAGAUGGGGACAACACUUCGAAAGGGGUGCUAAUACCGAAUGAAUGUAAGAGUAUCGCAUGAGACACUUACUAAAGGAGGCCUCUGACAUAAGCUUCCGCUUGAAGAUGAGCUUGCGUCUGAUUAGCUAGUUGGUGAGGGUAAAGGCCCACCAAGGCGAC
rnacentral:rRNA from 1 species